UAAAAAAAAAAAAGAAUUAAAAAAAUGCACAUGAAGCCCUCAUAGUUGACUGUGGACAUUGCUUAACUACAUGUAAGAUUGAGUUCACUCAUAGUCAGUAUGAGUAUAUAGCAGAUUUGAGCUUUGGCAUUGACUACUGUCAGGUGUAAAUUUUUGAAAACUUUUUUUUUAAUGUUUAUUUUUGAGAGAGAGAGAGAGAGAAAGACAGAGGGUGAGCAGGGGAGGGGCAGAGAGAGGAGACACGGAAUCUGAAGCAGCUUCAGGCUCUGAGAUGUCAGCACAGAGGCCAACACGGGGCUUGAACCCACGAACCAUGAGAUAAUGACUUGAACCGAAGUCGGACAUUUAAUCGACCGAGCCACCCAUGUGCCCCAUUGAAAACUUCUGAAUGAAGUUGAUUAUAACACUUUGGGGGGAAAAACUACUUAGUUGAAGUCACUGAAAUGUAUCAAAUCAACUUUUGUGAUCUCAUUUAAAAUAAAUUCUCUGUCCUCUAAUAUUUCUAUUAACUCAUGUUAAUACAGAUUAAAAUAGACAAAUGUUAAGUAUACAGAGCUACGGGCAUUGUUUUAAUUUCAAGUAUUCUCUGAGAACAUGUGAUUAGACCAUGUAUAGAUAAUGGUGUGUAUAUGUGUUCCGGAAGAAUUCAGAUUCUUGUCUUCCUGAAAUAAAUCUGAGUUGGUCCUAAUACCACAUCCCCAGUGACUCGACGCCCUCCUCCUCUUCUGUGUCUCUUUACAUUCCAUGGUCAAGCACUGUACCCUCUGCCUUCCACACACCCUCAGCAACCUGCCUCCUCACUUCCUAAUAUUCCCUGAGCCAAACCACAACCCUGGUGAUAAUUCCAACUUGCUGCCUGCUCGGCACAUGCACCUGCCCAGCCAAAUGCGUCUGGCAUCACAUGGCCUGGUUUCAUUUUAAAUUCAUGACCACAAACCUCAAGUGGACUCUUAAUGCCCUUGGCAAUCAUAGGAUACUUAACCCAGGUUCACUUCUCACCCAAUGCUCCAGCAAGUUAUCCACCUCCCUUCCUCCCUCCUCAAACCUCCAACCCCCCUCCCUUCUUUCUGAGGUCACUGUGGAUAUUGACGUGAUCAGCAGAGGAAGUCCGCAGACUGCCCACUCCCCACAUCUAUCUCUCCAUCUCUGAACCCCACCCGCUGGCUUCCUGCCUGCUACUGUAGAUGAAUCACCUACAGUCCUAUGGAAGUCUAGCCCUCUGCUUUGACCCCUCCCCUCCCAUCAUUCAUGAAUACCACUCAGCCCUUCUCCCCUUUUUCUGAUACAUCUUUUUUAUUUUUAUUUUUGUUUAUUUUUUGCUGUCUGCUGGACCAAAACUUUUCCUACCGACAAUGCCACGGAGCCCCGUGUUGCUAGAACGAAGAGCCAAUUCUGUCUGCCACUUUCCUGAUGUAUUUGCUGCUUUUGAUACAACUGAUCGCGACCUCCUACCUGACAGACUCUUUCAGCUGGGCCGCUGGGACACGAUCCUCCUGGUUUCCUGUUGCCUCACAACACAUCCAUCUGAGGCAGCAGCAGGGAGCCGCUCGUCACCACCGUUGAUCGGAGACUGGGGCUUUCAGCUCAGGAUCCUACUUGGAUGUUUCUGGUUGCCUUGGCAGAAGAGUAAAAAGCUCUAGAAAAUUAUCACUGAUGCAGAAACUGAAGCUUAAGGAUAGGAAGGAGACUCCCCUCAGCUUUGGGCUAAUUAGAGUCUCAGCUUCCUGACUCAACCUUGGGGGUUCCUUGAACAACAAAGCCACAGAACAAAUGUUUAGAGGAGGGGCA